rnacentral:rRNA from 1 species
GGGUUGUGAGGUUAAGCGACUAAGCGUACACGGUGGAUGCCCUGGCAGUCAGAGGCGAUGAAGGACGUGCUAAUCUGCGAAAAGCGUCGGUAAGGUGAUAUGAACCGUUACAGCCGGCGAUGUCCGAAUGGGGAAACCCAGUGCAAUUCGUUGCACUAUCGUUAACUGAAUACAUAGGUUAACGAGGCGAACCGGGGGAACUGAAACAUCUAAGUACCCCGAGGAAAAGAAAUCAACCGAGAUUCCCCCAGUAGCGGCGAGCGAACGGGGAGCAGC